UCCGGAUUGACUGUCACCUCCAAGUGGCCACAGCUGCUGCAGAUCUGGCUCAUCAGCGUGUUGGGUUCAUAAGGUGGAUCUGAGGAUCAAUUCUUUGCUGAUGCAUUGCUUGCCUCUGGUAAAGCUACUCCACCCCUCUGUGAAUUUAACUUCCUAGAGUUUUUCUAACCCUUGUGAAUUUCUAUGUUCAGAUGCCACUCGAGACUUACCUGGACGAUCAUCCCUCUGUGAUCCUGAAGAAACUGAAAGAGAACCACUCACCUGCCCUUUUGCUGCGCUGCCUGUCUGCCUCUGUGUGGAACCAACACUACUCACCUCUAAACUGGAUUGUAAAUACUCACCUGGAAUCCCUGGACCUCCCCCUCAGCACUGAGUCUUCACUCUAUUCCCAACUGAGUCCUGAGGAACCACCACCUGUAAAUAAAAACACAUUUUACCUC